GUUUACAUAGUUUAUACAAAACAUUACAUUUUCAUUGCAAAAAAAGAUCCAUCUUGUAAAC
rnacentral:tRNA from 1 species